CAGCGCUUCGGCCGGGGCGUGGCCCCGUGCGGUCGAGGCGCGGGCCGAGGACGGGGCGGACGCGGUGGCGGCGCCGAUGCCGCCGGUGUCGGC
rnacentral:tRNA from 1 species